AUUUCCCUCUUUCUCUAGGCCUAACACACGCAAGUCGAACGGCAGCACAGUAAGAGCUUGCUCUUACGGGUGGCGAGUGGCGGACGGGUGAGGAAUACAUCGGAAUCUACUUUUUCGUGGGGGAUAACGUAGGGAAACUUACGCUAAUACCGCAUACGACCUACGGGUGAAAGCAGGGAAUCUUCGGACCUUGCGCGAUUGAAUGAGCCGAUGUCGGAUUAGCUAGUUGGCGGGGUAAAGGCCCACCAAGGCGACGAUCCGUAGCUGGUCUGAGAGGAUGAUCAGCCACACUGGAACUGAGACACGGUCCAGACUCCUACGGGAGGCAGCAGUGGGGAAUAUUGGACAAUGGGCGCAAGCCUGAUCCAGCCAUACCGCGUGGGUGAAGAAGGCCUUCGGGUUGUAAAGCCCUUUUGUUGGGAAAGAAAAGCAGCAGGUUAAUACCCCGCUGUUCUGACGGUACCCAAAGAAUAAGCACCGGCUAACUUCGUG
rnacentral:rRNA from 1 species